GUGGGAUUUGCACACGAUAACGGCUUUCAGAGGUGGCUAGGACUUGGCCAGAAACCUUUCAGUUUACUGCAUAGUCUCUAUUGGAGCUUGGGAAAAUAUUUUCUGUGAACCUAGUUGGCAGCUUAGGUUUCCUUCUCCCCUGUUCCCAUGUGGAACUGAAGUCCAUUUACUAAGAUUUCAGCUAAACAAACUACAACCUAUUUUCCCAGUGUUUCCAAACCUGUCCCGAGGCAGAGAUGAUUGUAAAGAGCCCCUCAGGAGCACUUAUUUGUGGUUUCUAGGCUGAAGGCUGGCUGUGCAACUUUGGCAUUCUUGAUCUAUCACCUGUGACUGAAAGCUCCCAAACUGAUGCAAAACUUCUAACUACAUAGGAAAGAGAUGAAUUCAAUGGUGAUCACUUUCCUUUGGAUCUCUGCAAAACUACAUACCUACUCAACAUAUUUUUGGAUAUAAUUUCAGGUUUUGGUAUCAAGAUGAUAAAAUACCUAGGAAUACAGCUAAUCAGGGAGAUGAAAGAUCUCUACAAUGAGAAUUAUAAAACACUGCUCAAAGAAAUCGGACAUGACACAAACAAAUGGAAAGACAUCUCAUGCUCAUGAAUAGGAAGUAUCUAUAUCAUUAAAAUGGCUAUACUGCCCAAAGCAAUUAAUAGAUUCAAUGCUACUCCUAUCAAACUAGCAAGGACAUCCUUCACAGAACUAUAAAAAUAUUUUAAAAUUCACAUGAAACCAAAAAAGAGCCCAAAUAGCCAAGGCAAUUUUAAGCAAAAAGAACAAAGCUGGAGGCACCACAUUACCUGGCUUCAAACUAUACUGCAAGCCUGCAGUAACCAAAACAGCAUGGUUCUGGUACAAAAACAGGCACUCAGAUCAGUGGAACAGAAUAGAGAGCCCAGAAAUAAGGCUGUACAUCUACGAUCAUCUGAUCUUUAACAAGGCUGACAAAAACUAGCAAUGAGGAAAAGACUUCCUAUUCAAUAAAUGGUGCCUGGAUAGCUGGCUAGCCAUAUGCAGAAAAUUGAAGCUGGACCCCUUCUUUACACCAUACACAAAAGUCAACUCAAGACAGAUUAAAGACUUAAAUGUAAAACCCAAAACUAUAAACACCCUGGAAGAUAACUUAGGCAAUACCAUCCUGGACAAAGGAACUGGCAAAGAUUUCAUGGCAAAGACACCAGAAGCAAUUGCAACAAAAGCAAAAAUUGAAAAAUAGGAUCUAAUUAAACUAAAGGCCUUCUGCACCGCAAAAGAAACUAUCAAUAGAGUAAACAGACAACCUACAGCGUUGGAAAAAGUUUUUGCAAACUAUGCAUCUGACAAAGGUCUAAUAUCCAGCAUCUAUAAGGAACUUAAAUUUAUAAGAGAAAAACAAACAACACCAUUAAAAAGUGGGCAAAGGACAUGAACAGACACUUGUCAAAAGAAGACAUACAUGUGGCUGACAAACAUUACAAAAGCUUAAUAUCACUGAUCGUUAGAGAAAUGCAAAUCAAAACCACAAUGAGGUAUCAUCACACAGCAGUCAGAUGGUUAUUAUUAAAGUAAAAAAUAACAGAUGCUGGUGAGGUUGCAGAGAAAAGUGAACACUUAUACAUUGUUGGUGGAAGUGUAAAUUAGUUCAGUCAUCGUGGAAAGCAGUAUAGUGAUUCCUCAAAGAGCUAAAAGCAGAAGUACCAUUUGACCCAGCAAUCUCAUUACUGGGUAUAUACCCACCUGAAUACAAAUUAUUCUACCAUAAUGACACAUGCACAUGCAGCACUAUUCACAACAGGAAAGACAUAGAAUCAACCUAAAUGCCCAUCAAUGACAGAUUGGAUAAAGAAAAUGUGGUACAUAUACACCAUGGAAUACUAUGCAGCCAUAAAAAAACCAAGAUCAUAUCUUUUGCAGGAACAUGGAAGGAGCUAAAGGCUAUUAUCCUUAGCAAACUAACACAGGAACAGAAAAUCAAAUACUGCAUGUUUUUACUUGUAAGUGGGAGCUAAAUGGUAAUAAUUUAUGAACACGAAGGGAAAACAGACACUGGGGUCUAAUGAUGAGGGAGGGUGGGAGGAGGGAGAGAAGCAGAAAAGAUAACUAUUGGACACUGGGUGUAAUACCUGGAUGAUUAAAUAAUAUAUACAACAAACCACUGUGACAUGUGUUUACCUAUGU
rnacentral:lncRNA from 1 species